rnacentral:rRNA from 1 species
GCUUGUCUCAAAGAUUAAGCCAUGCAUGUCUCAGUAUAAGCUUCUACAUGGCGAAACUGCGAAUGGCUCAUUAAAACAGUUAUCGUUUAUUUGGUGGUUGUUUACUACACGGAUAACCUUGGUAAUUCUAAAGCUAAUACAUGCGCACAAGCCUGACUUAUUGGAAAGGCUGCUUUUAUUAGAUACAAAACCAACCCGGGCAACCGGUCCUUUGGUGAUUCAUGAUAACUUUGCGAAUCGCAUAGCUUUAAUGCUGGCGAUGGGUCAUUCAAAUUUCUGCCCUAUCAACUUUCGACGGUAGGAUAGAGGCCUACUGUGGUGAUAACGGGUAACGAAGAAUAAGGGUUCGAUUUCGGAGAGGGAGCCUGAGAAACGGCUACCACAUCCAAGGAAGGCAGCAGG